UACAGAGGGUGCAAGCGUUGUUCGGAUUUACUGGGCGUAAAGGGCGCGUAGGCGGCGUGGUAAGUCACUUGUGAAAUCUCUGAGCUUAACUCAGAACGGUCAAGUGAUACUGCUGUGCUAGAGUGCAGAAGGGGCAACUGGAAUUCUCGGUGUAGCGGUGAAAUGCGUAGAUAUCGAGAGGAACACCUGCGGCGAAGGCGGGUUGCUGGGCUGACACUGACGCUGAUGUGCGAAAGCUAGGGGGAGCGAACGGG
rnacentral:rRNA from 1 species